UCUUGUCCUUUACCAAGAAGAGCUACAGCUGAUCUCUUGGUUUCCAGGUGGAAUGGUGGAUUUUACAAGUUCCCUUUUCUAAACCUGUGAGCUGGUCUGUGAUUGAAAGUGAAAAAAUGAGAAAGGAGCAAGGGCAGCUGUGCCCUGUGAAAAGCUGACCUAGAGAUAACUUCUGGUGCUGGGAUCCCACACUGGCUCAAAGCAUGUGGCUAUUGCUUUGCAAUGAGGCAGGCGCUUGCCAACACGAGGUCCAGUUCCUUAUCUGAGGGGCUCCUGGAGGUCACUGGCAAGGUGUUACUGGUGUGGUUGUGGCAUGGCAGCACUGCUAAGUAUCACAGAUAGCUCUCUGCUGUCAAAACUAUGACUCCUUGUCAAAAUUUAAUAUCCUCCGACUUGUCAAGAUCCGUGUAUGCAUGCACUGGCACAGAGAUUUGAAUAAAAUAACUAGCUUAACUGACUGCAUUAGGGGAUGAUCCAAAGCCAGAUUCAGGCAGUGCAAUGCCCUCUCCUGUGUGUAUGCAAAUUGUCUCUGCUGGCACUUUCAGGUGGUCUUUGGCUCAAGCUUUUAUGACCAGCAGCAAAAGGAAGGGCAUCUUUAAAUCUCUGUAUCUCAGCUCAUGCCAUUCACAUCAGAAUGCCUCACGUGCGAGGCCCAGGGGCUCCUCAGUGGUUAACCUUCUGUUUCUAUUACACAUGAGAGGCUGUUCUGCUCGAAUACCUCACCUGAGCCCCCCUCUAAAGAUCAGUCCC